GUGGAUUAGAUACCCUGGUAGUCCAUGCCGUAAACGAUGAGUGCUAGGUGUUGGAGGGUUUCCGCCCUUCAGUGCCGGAGCUAACGCAUUAAGCACUCCGCCUGGGGAGUACGACCGCAAGGUUGAAACUCAAAGGAAUUGACGGGGGCCCGCACAAGCGGUGGAGCAUGUGGUUUAAUUCGAAGCUACGCGAAGAACCUUACCAGGUCUUGACAUCUUGCGCUAACCUUAGAGAUAAGGCGUUCCCUUCGGGGACGCAAUGACAGGUGGUGCAUGGCCGUCGACAACU
rnacentral:rRNA from 1 species